GGAAGUAGAAGUCGUAACAAGGUUUCCGUAGGUGAACCUGCGGAAGGAUCAUUAAAGAGUAAGGGUCCUCUAGGCCCGACCUCCCAACCCUUUGUUUACCAAACCAAUGUUGCUUCGGCGGGCCCGUCUUAGGACCGCCGGAGGACCGUCGAAACGUCCUCUGGCCCGCGCCCGUCGAUGGCCCUUAUUAUUAAACUCUGAACCAAACGUGUCCUGUCUGAGUGAUUAUUAUCAAAAUUAAAGCAAAAACUUUCAACAACGGAUCUCUUGGUUCUG
rnacentral:misc_RNA from 1 species